AUUAGAGCAGGAAAAAUUUAUGAUGCGAAUGAACAAGGCAAGACCAACAAUGUCAGGAUCCUUGAUCAAACACAGAGCAUACUUAA